AAGGGUAUUGUUGAUUCCGAGGACCUUCCUCUCAACAUCUCAAGAGAAAUGCUUCAGCAGAACAAGAUUUUGAAAGUAAUCCGGAAAAACUUGGUGAAGAAGUGCGUUGAGCUUUUCUUUGAGAUUGCUGAGAACAAGGAGGAUUACAACAAAUUCUAUGAGUCCUUCUCCAAGAAUCUCAAGCUUGGUAUCCAUGAGGACUCCCAGAAUAAGUCAAAGCUUGCAGAAUUGCUCAGAUACCACUCCACCAAGAGUGGUGAUGAGAUGACCAGCUUGAAGGACUAUGUGACCAGAAUGAAGGAGGGACAGAGCGAUAUCUAUUACAUCACUGGUGAGAGCAAGAAGGCUGUGGAGAACUCUCCAUUCCUGGAGAAGCUGAAGAAGAAGGGCUAUGAAGUUCUGUUCAUGGUUGAUGCCAUUGACGAGUAUGCAGUUGGACAAUUGAAGGAAUUUGAGGGUAAGAAGCUAGUAUCAGCAACCAAGGAAGGCUUGAAGCUUGACGAGAGCGAAGAUGAGAAGAAGAAGAAGGAAGCUUUGAAGGAGAAGUUUGAGGGUCUCUGCAAGGUCAUUAAGGAUGUAUUGGGUGACAAGGUAGAGAAAGUUAUAGUCUCUG
rnacentral:lncRNA from 1 species